GACGCGUGGUGAGAGGGUGGAGUCCAUCCCUCAUCGGAAACCGCGAACUGGGAGGCACUGUUCUAGGAGGAUGUGAGGGAUUUAAGUUACAGACCAUUUCCCUGCCAGUCAGUGACGGAUUUCAGGCCCUGUGCUGACACUCUCCAUGUGUUAAUAUAAUCAUCUCAAAUAAGAAUUUUGGAGUUUAAAUUGUAAUAAAUGAUCAUUCCACUGGA